CCUACGGGUGGCAGCAGUGAGGAAUAUUGGUCAAUGGGCGCGAGCCUGAACCAGCCAAGUCGCGUGAGGGAAGACGGCCCUAUGGGUUGUAAACCUCUUUUGUCGGGGAGCAAAAGACGCCACGCGUGGCGUUCCGAAAGUACCCGAAGAAAAAGCAUCGGCUAACUCCGUGCCAGCAGCCGCGGUAAUACGGAGGAUGCGAGCGUUAUCCGGAUUUAUUGGGUUUAAAGGGUGCGCAGGCGGAAGAUCAAGUCAGCGGUAAAAUUGAGAGGCUCAACCUCUUCGAGCCGUUGAAACUGUUUGUCUUGAGUGAGUGAGAAGUAUGCGGAAUGCGUGGUGUAGCGGUGAAAUGCAUAGAUAUCACGCAGAACUCCGAUUGCGAAGGCAGCAUACCGGCGCUCAACUGACGCUCAUGCACGAAAGUGUGGGUAUCGAACAGGAUUAGAUACCCUAGUAGUC
rnacentral:rRNA from 1 species